UACGGGAGGCAGCAGUGGGGAAUAUUGGACAAUGGGCGCAAGCCUGAUCCAGCAAUGCCGCGUGUGUGAAGAAGGUCUUCGGAUUGUAAAGCACUUUCGACGGGGACGAUGAUGACGGUACCCGUAGAAGAAGCCCCGGCUAACUUCGUGCCAGCAGCCGCGGUAAUACGAAGGGGGCUAGCGUUGCUCGGAAUGACUGGGCGUAAAGGGCGCGUAGGCGGUUUGGACAGUCAGAUGUGAAAUUCCUGGGCUUAACCUGGGGGCUGCAUUUGAUACGUCAGGACUAGAGUGUGAGAGAGGGUUGUGGAAUUCCCAGUGUAGAGGUGAAAUUCGUAGAUAUUGGGAAGAACACCGGUGGCGAAGGCGGCAACCUGGCUCAUAACUGACGCUGAGGCGCGAAAGCGUGGGGAGCAAACAGGAUUAGAUACCCUGGUAGUCCACGCUGUAAACGAUGUGUGCUGGAUGUUGGGUGACUUAGUCCCUCAGUGUCGUAGUUAACGCGAUAAGCACACCGCCUGGGGAGUACGGCCGCAAGGUUGAAACUUAAAGGAAUUGACGG
rnacentral:rRNA from 1 species